rnacentral:tRNA from 1 species
GGUAGCUCAACCGGAAGAGCGCUGCUCUACGAAAGCGGAGGCGGGGGGUUCGAAUCCUUCCCAUCCUUCCCCA